AGUUGCAGUAUUAAUAUAAAGCAACCGGGUACAACACAGAAAGAAUAUUCACAAUUUGGUACAGUCCAAACCAGAGGAUCACCAACCGAGAGAAAGAUCCUCACUUUAGAAAAUAUUCACCUAUAGACUACAUGUAUCUAUAGAUAGAUCACACCCGGUUAGCUAAGAUUUCCCUGGUUUUAGAGCAAGUGGAAGUUCUGUUGAGUCUUAUCCAGCAGUUACAGCUCUGCUUUACCUAAUAGCAUACUUUUCUUGUAUAAGUUUAGAUUUUCCACCACCUCCACGUGUCUUCAAAUUUAAGGCUUUCCCUAGCACCUUUAGUAUCAGUUGCUGGAUACACAGGGGAGUCUCUAGAAUGUCUUUAACAGAAAAAUUGAGUGGGUGGUCCAGUCCCCCUUGCUCACUGGUCCCAAAGCCUCCUUCCACUUCUGGGAAGAGCUACAGAUGAUGACAUAUCCUAGCACCAUGGGAUUAAAGGCCCAGACAACCAAGAACUCUGCAUUUCAAGGAGCACUUGCCAGAAGCACUCCAAUAGGAGCUCUGUCUCUGUCCAUUAUCUUCUUGAAUUUCACUACAGAUUAAAUUUAGAGCCUGUCCUGCAUUAGAAAUGCAAAUCUCGGUAAGACCACCACUUUGUCCAGGAUAAGCCGGUACACAGACAUCCCAGGGAAUCUCUAAAUACUGUUAGGAACUGCUUGAAAAACACUUCUAAAGCAAAUACCCCAAGCAGACGUCACUCAAGUUCCCAACCCACCCUCUUCCCUAUCCCCAAACAAGUUUCAUUCCUUGAUCAACCUCUCCAAGUAAGAUGGGAAGUGAGGUUUGGAGAAUGACAUAAAAAUGUUUAAAAACACAGUGAAGACAUGCCAGAAUUGGACAUCUCAGAUGUCAAACUGAACUCAAAGCAUGCACAAAGCUCACCACACACAUAAAAAAUUUCCAUGGAACGAACAAUAGCUAUUAGAAAAAGGGCUUUCUUAAGGGUCAAGGGAAAAAUAAAAAAUAAAAAAGACACCAGAUGCUUAGAAUUCAUUAACCAAGAGAAAAACCAUCCUGGAAAAAACAAUCAAAAAUAAAAAUCCUAGAGGAGUGAAAAGCUCAUGUCCCAUUGCUUCCCAACAUAGCCUGGUAGAAGCCUCAUGGUCUCCGUAGUAUUGGCAUGACUGACGCUCAUCCUCUGUGCCUGCAGCUAAAAGAUCAUUUAAGCCCCAGGGGUUAAAUGAACUGAAGAGGGAGCCUAGGAAGAGUGACGCCCAGGGCCUCCACCACACUACUGUUAACUAAUUAGCCGGUCAAAGGGGUUUUUCCAGUGGCAAUGGUCACUUUAUUGAGCUUUAACUUAAAGUUACGGAAAGUUACUAAGAGCAUAUGUUUAGUGUCAUAAACCUAUCAGUAUUCUGAAUCACAUCAUCUAAUUUACUGAUACUUUCUAUUAUUAAGAACAAAGCAGCUUUGAGAAAAGCAUACUAUAAAAUCAUUUUGAUGAAAACACCAAGGUGUCCAAUUGAGUGUCAACCUUCCAAAGUCACUGACUUGAAAUAGGCCCUGGUGAUAGACAUUGUAAAGCCAGUCACCCUGACGGAGGGAGAGAAAAGCAGAACAGCAGGGCAUGGUCCCAGGCCAAACACCUCUCCAUCGGUUAGGAUGAUCACGCCAAGACGUGAAGAAGGCAAGUAACAAACACGUUAAAGAAGAGAGAUCCCACUCCAGGCUGGAACUUAUCUGAGGACCUGAAAUGUUUCCCACUUCCUAAUAAUGAAAGAUUCUUGGUGACCCAGUCCAUGGAUAACUUCUUUUGUGAAGAUAAAUUAUCACUUAAGUUCAGUCCAGCUUAGCUUGGCAUUUGCCAUUUGAAAACUUCCAUGACUUACAAGGCAUAUAAAAUCUUAGGGCAUUUUGAUCUCUACAGAGGAAAUACUACCAUUAAGUAGACAAAAACUUACUGCAUGUAAUCACAGAAUUAAGUACAGCAAAGUAAUUUCCUAUACUUACAGAUUAGUAUGAUUGUUAGGCAAAAUACUACCAUGUGCACUUCUAAUUGUACAAAUAAAUCUGGUUAUCUUUCUAAGCUACCUCAUUACAGAAAUGCUAAAUUGUGUUAAUAAGUAGUUCAUAUUGGAUUACUCAAAUUUAAUUUGGGAUCACAUGGCACAGAAAGGCCAUACAUAUAUUUUUUUAAAUGGCCAAAAUCAUUGUUUAUGACAAUGGCUGAGAUUCUAAGCAAUAACAGCAAUCUGUAGGCCAAAGAGGAAAGGAUAGGGGUCACAGAGCUAGCCACUCUCUAUUUGGUGUAAGAGAAUUUUCCUUAGAAAAAUGAGCCAUAAGCCAGUGUGAUGGUGCACACCUGUAACUGCAGCACUCAGGACGCUGAGGCAGGAGGAUGUCUGAGGCAAGGGGAUGGCUCUCAUAAGCUUAAUCCCAGCCUGAACUACAUGGCAAGACCUUGUCUCAAAAAAUGAAAAAAGAAAAUGAGCCAUAAAAAGCUGUUUGCCUCAAAUUCUUCCCUUGUAUAUUAAUUUAUAAAAAAAUAAGAAUCAUAUUAAAACUCAGAAACAUAGCUAGUUAUAUUAAAAAUUAUAAUUAUUUUUUAGAGAAAGGACAAAAAAAUCAAGAAUUGAGAAUGGAGAAGUAAAAGAGAGACUAAGAUUAAAAGAUAUUUCUAAUUAAGGUUUUUCAUCACAUCCAAUAAUCUAAUCACGUAAGUUCACUUCAUGGGAAAGCCAGGCCAUCAUAAGCUCUACUUUUAAAAAUUCUUGAUUCUAUCACCAGUCAUGGUGGCACAUGCCUGUAAUCCUAGCACUUGGGAGGCUGAGACAGAAGGACUGAUGCAUGUUUAAGGCCAGCCUGGGUAAAUAGUGAGACCCUAUCUGAAAACAAAAACAAAAACAAAACAAAAUUCUUGAUUCAAAACUGUCUCUCAGAGCAGGAUUGACUUGUAAGUGAGCCAAAAACCAAAAUAACCAUUAUUGAAAUGCCAAACCUCUAUAUAGUAGGAGAAAUCAACAUACAGUAUUGGAAUGAUAGUGUUCUCUAUUGGUUAUUUUCAUUUCUAAUGAAUGUUCCUGCCACCUUCUAAAGUGUGUAUUGUGCAAUACUACUAAGCUUCAUGGCAAGAGAAUAACUGAAAUGGUAAGCAAGGCAAACUGACAGUUGAAUAUUCACAGCCCACAGCUGUCUUAAGCGGCCUGUUCUCAGAGGCUUCUAUUACUGGGAAAGUGCCAUGUUCAUCAGAAGGGCUGCUUCCUCCUGCCUUCCUCACUCACAAUUUCUCCCAAGACAUUAUUAUUAUUAUUCAACCUGUGCUCUGUAAUUUACUACUGAGUUAAAGAAAAGAUGGCCAAAGAGGAGGGUGGGUGUACAAAACAUUUUAAAGAGUCAGCUGAAUGAGAUCUUGAAAAAGUUGUUUCUGCCCAAACCAAGUGUAAAUUCUAACCAAUUCCCCAGUAAUUGCUGAGCCAGUAGAGUAGCUAUUUUAAAGCAUACAAGAUAAAAUUCAACUCCAGUGUCGGCAGCAUAUUUAGUUCGCAUUAAUUACACCUUAGUUGUACUCAACACUGAUUAGGCAGGCAUACAAUACAAACAAUUCAUAAACAACGAGAAAUGUUUAAAGGUCAUUACUAGAUUUACACCUAUGACAUUCUCCUUUUGGGGGAUUUCAGUCAUUACAAUGAGGUUACAUCAAGUUCCUGGGCAAAUGAUAUCUGUACCCAGAAAAAAAGGCAAAGGAACUGAUUAACAAGAACAUUUUUAAUUAGCCUAGGGGCAAUAUAUAAUAAAGGGAAUAGACUAGACACAAAAAUCUGGAGUAGAAAAAGACUUCAGAGAUCAUCUAAUUGGUGGUCUACAGUGUAUGUGUGGGUCCUCGAGUUUUUGCAAGAGCUCUGAAAUUCCACGUGCACAUUUACAUUUUCUCUAUGGAAUUAAUAAUUUAAUAGUUAACCCCACACUUCCCCACGCACACCAAACUUAAAAAAGUAUAAGUCCUUUCACUGGCAUAGACUGAGAACUAUUAAUCUAGUCUGCUGUUCUCAUUAUGGGGAUGAGGGCCCCAAGACUUGGAGGUAGGAAGAGGCAAGGUAACAGUUAUAAGAGCUCUUACCCAGAGUGCACUUGCCCUACACACAGUGCAUUUCCUGCACACCAUAUAUAACAUACUGUACAUUUCAUUUGUACCUGGAGAGUUAAGUUAAACCUUUCCUUCAUUUUUUAGUUCCCAGUGGCUCCCUCUGGUAUUUCUCUUAGCAUUCAAGUGAUAAGAAUCUUUAGUGCCAGGGAUUGAUACAGUAAUCCUUUCCUACUUGGGUACUGGUUAUACACCUUACUGAUAAAAUGUCAUGUCUUAAAAUCCAGUAGCUACAACAGGUGCAGCUAAAGAAUGUACAUGAUUCAAAAAAAAUUUGAGCCCAGUAUUUGUCACUUUUCAGUCUUAUUUCUUUAUGAAGACUUUCCUAACUAAAACCUGUACUAUUCCAUCCCUUUUUUAAAGUUCUACUGAAUUACAGUUCAAGCCCAAAAAUGCAAACAUUUACAUAUUUCCAAUUAUCUCAUUUGUAAUCCAUCUGCCUAACUGGAUAAAACAGUCAA
ensembl:lncRNA